UACGGGGGGGGCAAGCGUCGUUCGGAAUUACUGGGCGUAAAGGGCGCGUAGGUGGCCAACUAAGUCAGACGUGAAAUCCCUCGGCUUAACCGGGGAACUGCGUCUGAUACUGGAUGGCUUGAGUUUGGGAGAGGGACGCGGAAUUCCAGGUGUAGCGGUGAAAUGCGUAGAUAUCUGGAGGAACACCGGUGGCGAAGGCGGCGUCCUGGACCAAUACUGACGCUGAGGUGCGAAAGCGUGGGGAGCAAACAGG
rnacentral:rRNA from 1 species